CAGGCUCUCCCUGCAAAUGAAAUGGCACUUCGGCCCCCUCUCUUUUGCCCAUCCCUUUGGCGUUAUGCGUGUCCCGGUCGUAGCUAGAAAUUAAUACCUCCAAAUGACGUCUGUUUGCAAAUGCACCUCUGGGGUGGAGGGUGGGGGAGAGGGGCUGGAAAGGGUUAAAGCAAUUAUUUCCCCCGGACGGCCACAACCAGCCAAACACAUUCCCGCUGCGAUCUAUCAGAGCUGCUGGGGCAAUUUCAGCAAUGACUUCACCCCACUGCAUUGCAACACUACAUAGUGCCCAACUGUUGGAGUUUGCUAAUUUGUGUGUUUUCACUCAAGGCCUGCUGAUUCAAUCAUUUUAAAGAUGCCCAUUUCUUCCAAGCCAGGGAUUUUAUGACUCUAAGGAUUAGAAGCUGUUAUCCCAACAAACCCUGGAGCUCUAUAUAUUCUCAUUUUAUGACCGUGUGAAAGGCAAAAAGUGUGCAACAACCAGGUACCGGGGUUUAAAAUCAACGGGAAGAGCUGUCACUGCUUUGUGUUUAAAAAGGAGUCGGAAGAAAUCCGUAUGGGGAGACGGAAUAAUAAAAGUCAGAUCUGCCGACUGAUCGCCCGGGCUUGUUUCAAGCACCCUGAUUUAGAAAUAAAUGAAGAAUCGGAACCUCUCUCCACAGA